AGACGCAACCUAGACGGUCCCUGGUUCAUCCAGCCACCCGAACCAGCCAGCCAACCAGCCAGCCAGCCAGCCAACCGGGCUAGGCUAGACACAUCGACCAUGCUCCGUUUCUCUCGUUGCCUCUCCUCUUCUUUCUACGCGCGCCGCGCCUGUCCUUGUCCUGCCCGCCGCUACCGUCCCACCUAUAUACUGUCACGGUCCUCGUCGCACCCGGCCACCAACGCGAGAGCAUACCUAUAUGCUCCCCAACCGGAUUUCCCAUCGUUCUCUCGUCGCACCGGCUCACCAACGCUUCCUCCCUCCCCGCGAGAGAUGCAAAUCCUCAAUAGCAUCGUUGGAUCCUAGAUCCCAUUGGCAGCGAUCGUGACGUAGACGAUGCACCCAGUCUUCGCCCUGUCCCUCCUUCCACUCGCAGUCUUCCUCGCGGGGAAGGUGUUGUCUCGCGACCUAGGAAUUGUUUCCGUUUCGCGAGACGUCGAUUCUCGCACGAUCUCUCUCUCUAUAGUAUUCGGUGAAAAUUUAGCUUGCUUUCGACUGACAGCCUUCCAUUUGCUAUUUGACGCGUCGCGAGAAUUCUAAUGGGGAGAUACGAAGGAAUUGUGGAAGGAGUGGCGGAAGAUUUAAAGAGGAUUUUUAUCGAGAACGUUAUCCGCGAUUCUUGAGUCAAGGGGAUAAAGAACUUUGUUGAUUGGAAAUUGGAAUUAUCUUCAUUCAACGUUACUUCAUCACAAAGAUAUUUUAUUUUGCAAUUCUUCUGUGACACACUUCAACGUUACUUGAAAAGUUUAUAGGAAAAACCAACCACCUUUUCCGGUUGCAUCCCGUGAUUCGCAUGCACUUCUUCCAUAUCGGCCAUAGCAAGCAGCCAGACCGAGCUUUCACGAGGAAUUAAGUGAUAUAAGAAAAACCAUCCUUUUCCGGUUGCAUCCCGCAUACACUUCUUCCAUAUCGGCCGUAGCAAGCAGCCAGACCGAUCAACUUGAGCUUUCACGAGGAAUUAAGGAUAGAGCUUCAUCCCCCGCGGUAUACGCAUCUUCCUAUAUCGUCCCGGCUAGGCCGCCCCUCGCCCCCGGCCCGGCCGCCGUUUUAAUCGGCCCGACUGCAAUGCAUAAAUCCCCGUUAAAUAAUACGGUAGUUAACAGUGCCAUUAAGCCGUUCGAGAUACCGCAAAACCGGUAGGGUGCUCCUCGCUGUACGCGCGAAGUCCGUAUUUAUCGGCAGCCGACGCGCCACCACCGAGAAAUAUUGUUCUGCGCUCGUUUCCACUGGCGUUCGGGGGCCGACAAAAUACCGGGGACGAAGAGCAGGAGGGGUGAAAUAAAAGAACGAGAAGAAAAAAAAGGAGAAGGUAUAAAAUCGAAGGGAGAGGGAGGGAAAAAGCAGAGGCGCAUGAUAUGGCCGAGUGAGGAAACGGGCAGACGUACAAAUUUCCAUUCUCCACACCCAUUCCUUUUUGAGCCGCCGUCGUAAUUAAUUGUUUCGAGUGUAAUGAGCGGGAUCGUUUUUACGCGGCGCGGAUUCGUAAUUAGCGGGUUCCCGUAAAUAUGAAAUUUCAUCGCGAUUAUUUAAUGCCGAGACGACAGUUGGCGAGCGUGUGCACCGCGGGGCGAGGUUUCUGACACUUGGAGGGUCCGUUUUAAUGAUCUCGAUCCGUUGAUUCCGAAUGGACCCGUUUCCUUCUUGGACUCUAACGACUGGGCGAGGUGAAUGGCGCGAUAAUGUUUUUUGCUUUAUUUUUAUGAGAUCGGGGGGGAAUUUUCCGCUUAAAACUGAAGGAGAAUUCGAACGCGGGAUCAUUAAGGUAAAUAGAUAUUGGGAUGAUAGUCUAAUGGAUCGAGGUUUAAUGCGUAUUUUUUAUUACGAUAGUUUUAUAAUUUUGUCGUUGAAAGUUUUCGAGAAAGAUCCGUGCACGAUAUUAUUCUUCUUAUUCAACGAAUAUUCAAAUUUUUGAGUAAGAAAAGAAAUAUUGAUUUAAAAAUCGCAAUUAUAAUAAUGGAACAAUAAAAAAAGAAACAUGAAGAAGUGAAACUAACGACAAAUUCAUCGAUCGAUCUUGAAUUCGCGAUAUUUCAUGAGAACGAAAUUGCGGUGACCUCGUUAUUUGACAAACGAUCGUUUCUGUUCCGUCGAACAAUGCCGCGUAUCGGAGAAGAAACGGUAACGAGCAAUAGAUUUCGAUAUAACAAGCAACAUUCGUCAUAGUUUACGUAGAAUCGAAGCGUGGAUCGCCGGUCGGUUAUUUUUCUACCGGUAUCACGAGUCGUUCCAUGAUCGGAUUCGAAUAUUUUUCCGGGGAAAAACGACAAAUGAGAAGGAUUGAAAUUACUUGUAAGAGGGAUGACUGAUGUCGCGAUCCUUAUCCACGGCGGAAAUACCGAAGAAAGACACACAACGGAAAAAGUAUUGUCGAUGUCCAUUUCGAUCUAUCGAUACGAGUAUGUAUGACAAAUGGCUGUGAUGUAUUAUUAUUUUUUAUUUAUUUUAUUUAUUCUACUUUAAUUUUUAACAGGA